rnacentral:rRNA from 1 species
GAUGAACGCUGGCGGCGUGCCUAAUACAUGCAAGUCGAGCGAACAGACGAGGAGCUUGCUCCUCUGACGUUAGCGGCGGACGGGUGAGUAACACGUGGAUAACCUACCUAUAAGACUGGGAUAACUUCAGGAAACCGGAGCUAAUACCGGAUAAUAUAUUGAACCGCAUGGUUCAAUAGUGAAAGACGGUUUUGCUGUCACUUAUAGAUGGAUCCGCGCCGCAUUAGCUAGUUGGUAAGGUAACGGCUUACCAAGGCAACGAUGCGUAGCCGACCUGAGAGGGUGAUCGGCCACACUGGAACUGAGACACGGUCCAGGCUCCUACGGGAGGCAGCAGUAGGGAAUCUUCCGCAAUGGGCGAAAGCCUGACGGAGCAACGCCGCGUGAGUGAUGAAGGUCUUCGGAUCGUAAAACUCUGUUAUUAGGGAAGAACAAAUGUGUAAGUAACUAUGCACGUCUUGACGGUACCUAAUCAGAAAGCCACGGCUAACUACGUG